rnacentral:rRNA from 1 species
AGCGGCGGACGGGUGAGUAACGCGUGGGUAACCUGGCCUGUACACACGGAUAACAUACCGAAAGGUAUGCUAAUACGAGAUAAUAUGCUUUUAUCGCAUGGUAGAAGUAUCAAAGCUUUUGCGGUACAGGAUGGACCCGCGUCUGAUUAGCUAGUUGGUAAGGUAACGGCUUACCAAGGCGACGAUCAGUAGCCGACCUGAGAGGGUGAUCGGCCACAUUGGAACUGAGACACGGUCCAAACUCCUACGGGAGGCAGCAGUGGGGAAUAUUGCACAAUGGGCGAAAGCCUGAUGCAGCAACGCCGCGUGAGCGAUGAAGGCCUUCGGGUCGUAAAGCUCUGUCCUCAAGGAAGAUAAUGACGGUACUUGAGGAGGAAGCCCCGGCUAACUACGUGCCAGCAGCCGCGGUAAUACGUAGGGGGCUAGCGUUAUCCGGAAUUACUGGGCGUAAAGGGUGCGUAGGUGGUUUCUUAAGUCAGAGGUGAAAGGCUACGGCUCAACCGUAGUAAGCCUUUGAAACUGGGAAACUUGAGUGCAGGAGAGGAGAGUGGAAUUCCUAGUGUAGCGGUGAAAUGCGUAGAUAUUAGGAGGAACACCAGUUGCGAAGGCGGCUCUCUGGACUGUAACUGACACUGAGGCACGAAAGCGUGGGGAGCAAACAGGAUUAGAUACCCUGGUAGUCCACGCCGUAAACGAUGAGUACUAGCUGU